CUUUUCCUCUGCUCCCCCUCUCCAAUCCUUUGUCCCUGGGUGAGCGUGCUUUGAAAAUGCAGUGCACCCAGGCAAGGAUUGAGAGAGGGCUGGCCUCCUCUGCGUGAAG
rnacentral:pre_miRNA from 1 species